GAUGAACGCUAGCUACAGGCUUAACACAUGCAAGUCGAGGGGCAGCAUGGUCUUAGCUUGCUAAGGCCGAUGGCGACCGGCGCACGGGUGAGUAACACGUAUCCAACCUGCCGUCUACUCUUGUACAGCCUUCUGAAAGGAAGAUUAAUACAAGAUGGCAUCAUCAGUCCGCAUGUUCACAUGAUUCAAGGUAUUCCGGUAGACGAUGGGGAUGCGUUCCAUUUGAUAGUAGGCGGGGUAACGGCCCACCUAGUCUUCGAUGGAUAGGGGUUCUGAGAGGAAGGGCCCCCAGAGUGGAACUGAGACACGGGCCAAACUGAUACGGGAGGCAGCAGUGAGGAAUAUUGGUGAAUGGGCGCAGGCCUGAACCAGCCAAGUAGCGUGAAGGAUGACUGCCCUAUGGGUGGUAAACUUCUUUUAUAAAGGAAUAAAGUCGGGUAUGGAUACCCGUUUGCAUGUACUUUAUGAAUAAGGAUCGGCUAACUCCGUG
rnacentral:rRNA from 1 species